rnacentral:lncRNA from 1 species
GUUGACAAAAAGCAUACUACCAACGUCGCCAGUCGGCUUGCGUUGGGUUUUUUUCCCUUCCUGUCAGAAAGCGCAAGGCGACGCGCCUGCGCACAAGGAGCGAAAGGCUGGGUAGCCUAGCAACCGGAGCGGGCCUACCAAACCACCCGCCUCUGCUGGAGUUGGUUAAGCCCCCGACUGACCCCGAAGAAAAGCGGGGCUGCUGCAGGAAUCUCAACCCCAUCGCUAGAUGCAGUAGCUUCAGCUGCAUCCGUACGAGUCUCGCUGACUCUGUUUCGGAAGCUCUGUGUGUGGAUCAUUCUGUUUCAUUUCUACCCCGCUUUCCCCCCUGAUAGGACGGGACUUCCAGAUUUUUUUAAAAAAGAGCGAGAAAAAAAAUAAUUGCUUAAAACAUAAGGGGGA